GAUGAACGCUGGCGGCGUGCCUAAUACAUGCAAGUCGAGCGAACAGAUGAUGAGCUUGCUCCUCUGACGUUAGCGGCGGACGGGUGAGUAACACGUGUAUAACCCACUUAUAAGUCUGGUAUAACUUCGGGAAUCCGGAGCUAAUCGCGGAGAAGCUAUUGAACCGCAUGGUUCAAUAGUGAAAUACGGUUUUGCGGUCACUAAUAGCUGGAUCCGCGCCGCAUUAGCUAGUUGGUAAGGUAACGGCUUAUCAAGGGAACGAGGCGUAGCCGACCUGAGAGGGUGAUCGGCCACACUGGAAGUGAGCCAGGGUCCAGGCGCCUACGGGAGGGAGCAGUAGGGAAUCGUCCGCAAUGGGCGAGAGCAUGACGGAGCAAGGCGGAGUGAGUGAUGACGGUCUUCGGAUCGUAAAACUCUGUUAUUAGGGGAGAACAAAUGUGUAAGUAAAUAUGCACGGAUUGACGGUAACUAAUCAGAAAGCAACGGCUAACUACGUG
rnacentral:rRNA from 1 species